UACAGAGGGGGCAAGCGUUGUUCGGAAUUACUGGGCGUAAAGGGCGCGUAGGCGGCCUGCUAAGUCGAACGUGAAAUCCCCGGGCUCAACCCGGGAACUGCGUCCGAUACUGGUGGGCUUGAAUCCGGGAGAGGGAUGUGGAAUUCCAGGUGUAGCGGUGAAAUGCGUAGAUAUCUGGAGGAACACCGGUGGCGAAGGCGGCAUCCUGGACCGGUAUUGACGCUGAGGCGCGAAAAGCUAGGGGAGCAAACGGG
rnacentral:rRNA from 1 species